CGUGACAGCAGUGUCACUUCGCCCUUGAUCCUGCGGAACUGCCGGCUGGCCGGGUUGAUGGGGAUGCGCUUCACUGCGUAGCAGCAGCCGUCCAACUUGUUCUGCACCUGCGGCACAGCCAGGGGAAGGUCAGCCGCUCGGAGCCUUGCACAAACAGGCAUUUGCACCGCACCCCAUCCCCUCCCAAGGAAAGCGUGAAGUUCUAAAUGAGUCCCACAGCUACAGUCAAGAACCACAUGCCUGAAAUUCUUAAACUGAAGAAAGCUUUGACUGCCACAAAAUUCAGAAAACAGCCCACCCGACUCUAGAUAUAUUUAGCUUGCUGGGAGACCCUGGGGAAAACAUAAUCUCCAUUUUAAUAAUUAAUUUUACUGACAGUUACCUCCCUGCUUUUCCAAUGUAUCUGCUAUCUAAAUUUCUAAGUGUCUUGAUUUUAAGAUUAAAAAUUAUUUUCUAAAGUCAGUGUAAAGUUUCAGAUGAUUUUAGUUUCUCUCUGAUUUUUUUUUACACUUAAAGUCACUAAAAAC
rnacentral:lncRNA from 1 species